GUCUUUAUCAUAGCAACCUGGGCCUCCUUUCACAAAGCACUAAGGUGAUCGUAAGUCACCAAGGUAACCUUAGUACAAUGUUAAUGAAUGGGAGUUAAGCUUAACCUUAGCAAAGGUUGCUUCGUGAAAGGAGA